rnacentral:lncRNA from 1 species
CAUCCCCUCGUGAAGACCCCUCUCCACAGUUUUAUGCUAAAACACAGAGGGUAACCUCAGAGAGAUCACGUCCUUCAGAUUAGACGCACACGCUCGGGCUUCUCUGGUUCCCUGUACCUGUCUGUUUCGACUCCCCCACUAUAACAGACCUUUGGGAAACUUCUGCCCCAAAGAAGAAGUUCUUUUGGCCUAGAAUGCCCGUCCCUUCUUCACCUCGCCAUCUUCUUCACCUGACAAAUAGAAACGGCAAGCAAUAGGAUAUGUUAGAGUAUAUGAGGAAGCCAUUUGGUGUAAACCUAAUUCGGCCUGACUUUGUUUUUUCCAAAAG